AGGGGAGUAGCUCAAUUGGCAGAGCAUCGGUCUCCAAAACCGAGGGUUGCGUGUUCGAGUCGCGUCUCCCCUGCCA
rnacentral:tRNA from 1 species